GACGAACGCUGGCGGCGUGCUUAACACAUGCAAGUCGAACGAAGUGGCGAACGGGUGAGUAACGCGUAAUCAACCUGCCCUUCAGAGGGGGACAACAGUUGGAAACGACUGCUAAUACCGCAUACUGAAGGAGGGGAUUGCGUCUGAUUAGCUAGUUGGAGGGGUAACGGCCCACAAAGGCGAUGAUCAGUAGCCGGGCUGAUGAGAAGAACGGCCACAUUGGGAUGGAGAACGGGCCAAAACUCUGACGGGAGGAAGAGGGGGGGAUCUUCCGAAAAUGAGGAAAGCCUGGAGGAGCAACGCCGCGGGAGUGAUGGCGGGCUUCCGGGUGGUAAGGUCUGUUAAUCAGAGCACGGUACCGGAAUAGAAAGCCACGGCUAACUACGUGCCAGCAGCCGCGGUAAUUC
rnacentral:rRNA from 1 species